CGGGAUUGUGAGUGCGCGGCUGUCAGUGGUGCGGCGGCUCAAUAGGAAGGGCGUUAUCUCUGCCUGUUUUCCCCUCCUGCAAUCCCCUGUGUUUCGCAGGGCGAUUUUGUCUCUUCGUAGCCUGACGGAAGACUUUAAGCACCAAUCCAGGAAGAUAUAAGAAAAAAAUAUUUUACAGUGAGGGUGGUGAGGUACUGGAAUAGGUUGUCCAGUGAUGUGGUUGAUGCCCCAUCCAUGGAGACUUUAAAGAUGGAGCUGCCUAAGGUCAUGGAUGUGGUCUCUUGCAACAGUUGAGCUGCAGUCAAAUCACAGAAUCCUGGGAGUUGGAAGGGACUUCUGAAGGCCAUCUGGUCCAACUGCCCUGAAAAGAACAGGGACGUCCACAGCUGGAUCAGGUUGCUCAGGGCCUUAUCCAGCAAAACUAUGGAGCAGAGCAGUGAGAUGUGUUUGUGUUGGCUGAUCUGCAGAGGGCACACAUUGUCCAGGCCUGAGGCAGUAAGUGGUGGUGGCACGGAUCCCCUAAAGCGCUGUUGCUGGAGCUCCUGCUUCCGCGUGUCCCAGAGCUGGUUCACCACAUUUGCCCCAUCCCAGAGGAGCCAGUUGCUGAGCUGCAG
ensembl:lncRNA